GCCUGCCGCUCCCUGCCGCAGUCCAUCCAGCUCUUUCGGGACAUUGCCCAAGAGUUCUCUGAUGACCUGCACCAUAUCGCCAGCCUCAUUGGGAAAGUAGUGGACUUUGAGGGCAGCCUUGCUGAAAAUCGCUUCACAGUCCUCCCCAACAUAGAUCCUGAAAUUGAUGAGAAAAAGCGAAGACUGAUGGGACUUCCCAAUUUCCUUACUGAGGUUGCCCGCAAGGAACUGGAGAAUCUGGACUCCCGUAUUCCUUCAUGCAGUGUCAUCUACAUCCCUCUGAUCGGCUUCCUUCUUUCUAUUCCCCGCCUGCCUUCCAUGGUAGAGGCCAGUGACUUUGAGAUUAAUGGACUGGACUUCAUGGUAAGACCCUCAACCUCUGUAAGGUGAGUGAUGAGGAAAAUGAGUCAGCAGCUGAGGAAGGGCGUUCCUCUACAGCAGCACUGCCCAAUAUGGGAUCUCUCCUCUGUAGUUUUACUCUGAGCUUUACCAGCACUGAGACAAAGGAAAGAGAAGUCAGAGUUAGGGGCUGGAGGUGGGGUUAGAAAGAUGGGGAAGGAGAGGAGGACCAAGAGAUGCAAAGUCCACAGCUUUGAACCCCUGUACCCAGUUUCUCUCAGAGGAGAAGCUGCACUAUCGUAGUGCCCGAACCAAGGAGCUGGAUGCAUUGCUGGGGGACCUGCACUGU
rnacentral:sRNA from 1 species